AUUGAACGCUGGCGGCAGGCCUAACACAUGCAAGUCGAACGAGCGGCGGACGGGAGAGUAAGGCCUGGGAAACUGCCUGCAGGCGGGGGAUAACUACUGGAAACGGUAGCUAAUACCGCAUACCAUCAGCUGUGCCCAGAUGGGAAUAGCUAGUUGGUGGGGUAAAGGCUCACCAAGGCGACGAUCCCUAACUGGUCUGAGAGGAUGCCCAGCCACACUGGAACUGAGACACGGUCCAGACGCCUACGGGAGGCAUCAGUGGGGAAUAUUGGACAAUGGGCGCGAGCCUGAUGCAGCCAUGCGGCGUGUGUGAAGAAGGCCUUCGGGGUGUAAAGUACUGUCAGCGGGGAGGCGUUACCCGCAGAAGAAGCACCGGCUAACUCCGUGCCAGCAGCCGCGGUAAUUC
rnacentral:rRNA from 1 species